UACGAAGGGGGCUAGCGUUGCUCGGAAUCACUGGGCGUAAAGCGCACGUAGGCGGCUUGUUAAGUCAGGGGUGAAAUCCUGGAGCUCAACUCCAGAACUGCCUUUGAUACUGGCGAUCUUGAGUCCGGGAGAGGUGAGUGGAACUGCGAGUGUAGAGGUGAAAUUCGUAGAUAUUCGCAAGAACACCAGUGGCGAAGGCGGCUCACUGGCCCGGUACUGACGCUGAGGUGCGAAAGCGGUGGGGAGCAAACAGG
rnacentral:rRNA from 1 species